GGCGAGGCGCUGCCGACGCGGGACGGGCGGCUGCUGCUGGAGGCGCUGAGCGUGGAGCCGCCCGCGGCCAGGAAUCCCUCAGAGCAUCACUUCACCUAUGUCCCAGAGAUGCAUCCCCCACUGACCCCUGCCUGCACCAUGUGCCUGCAGAACAGCCUGCUGCCUGCAUGGCCAGGACUACAUGUCAGCUUGGGCAGCCAGGCUUGGCUCCAGCAUUGACACAUGGAUUUACAGCUCCAUGUCUGUGCCCUGGGAUGGUGACCCUAUACAAAGGACAACCAGCAUGACUGGCAGAGCCUCUAUUGCAUCCUCCAUCACAGUCAUCAUUCCUUCCUUUGCACAAGCUCACACACAGGGGCCUGCAAGCAAUUGCAGGCAAUGCAUCUCCCUGCCUGAUGUCUGAUUUAUUGACUCGUAACUCCAACAAGCAGGUGGUCCUUUUCCAAUCCCCAUCUCAGUCCCAUCUGAAACAGGGUGCUGGUCUCUGUAGCACUGUGUGCCCUCUCCUCCCUGUCUCCACAUGGCUCCAAGGAGAUGAACGCCUUCUUGCUCCUCUCCAGGAGAGACAGGUGGGCCAACAUCUCAUGUGUGAAUGUAUUCCUUUACUUUCCCUGUUUCUGAGAUAGCAUCAUACUUCAUCACCAGCAGUCAAAUCCUGCAUCAGCACAGGCUUUCUUUUUGACUCUGAGAAGCAACUUCAAGGCACAAAAAUACACCCCUGCAAAAACUUCCAGCAUGUUAUCCUAAUCCUCAGCAAAACAGACCGGAUUUGGGAAUAAAGACCAAGAUGUCACUGACUCAGAGGCCAGGAUAGUGUCAUAGAAGAGUUAGAGUUGGAAGGGACCUCUAAAGGAAACCUAGUCUAACCCCCCUGCAAUGAGAAUGCUCCCACAUCCCCAUAUUGCACAGUCACUGUGACACCAGGAUUCGCCAAUGGUUUUGUUUCUUGUUUCUUCAGCAGCGACCUAUUUAUGAAGCCACAAAACACAGAAAAAAGCACCUCCAAAACAACAAGUCCACCCUGGAAUGCUGUGGGGAAAGUAGAACAUAUCUGUAUGACACAUGGAUACAUUUCUUCUUGAUCCCAGCCGGCAGUUACAUUAUGGAGAUAAAAACACAUCAGACUUCAAUAAUUAUAAGACUGUGAAGAAACUUGGGAAAACAACUCUUUAAAAUACGUUAUAGACAUAGAAAAUGUAUUUCUUGGCUGAAAUGUUUAUCAAUAAAACUUAUAGAUUGGUAUUAACUACAA